rnacentral:rRNA from 1 species
CUGACGAGUGGCGGACGGGUGAGUAAUGUCUGGGAAACUGCCUGAUGGAGGGGGAUAACUACUGGAAACGGUGGCUAAUACCGCAUAACGUCGCAAGACCAAAGAGGGGGACCUUCGGGCCUCUUGCCAUCAGAUGUGCCCAGAUGGGAUUAGCUAGUUGGUGAGGUAACGGCUCACCAAGGCGACGAUCCCUAGCUGGUCUGAGAGGAUGACCAGCCACACUGGAACUGAGACACGGUCCAGACUCCUACGGGAGGCAGCAGUGGGGAAUAUUGCACAAUGGGCGCAAGCCUGAUGCAGCCAUGCCGCGUGUAUGAAGAAGGCCUUCGGGUUGUAAAGUACUUUCAGCGGGGAGGAAGGUGUUGUGGUUAAUAACCGCAGCAAUUGACGUUACCCGCAGAAGAAGCACCGGCUAACUCCGUGCCAGCAGCCGCGGUAAUACGGAGGGUGCAAGCGUUAAUCGGAAUUACUGGGCGUAAAGCGCACGCAGGCGGUCUGUCAAGUCGGAUGUGAAAUCCCCGGGCUCAACCUGGGAACUGCAUUCGAAACUGGCAGGCUUGAGUCUUGUAGAGGGGGGUAGAAUUCCAGGUGUAGCGGUGAAAUGCGUAGAGAUCUGGAGGAAUACCGGUGGCGAAGGCGGCCCCCUGGACAAAGACUGACGCUCAGGUGCGAAAGCGUGGGGAGCAAACAGGAUUAGAUACCCUGGUAGUCCACGCCGUAAACGAUGUCUACUUGGAGGUUGUGCCCUUGAGGCGUGGCUUCCGGAGCUAACGCGUUAAGUAGACCGCCUGGGGAGUACGGCCGCAAGGUUAAAACUCAAAUGAAUUGACGGGGGCCCGCACAAGCGGUGGAGCAUGUGGUUUAAUUCGAUGCAACGCGAAGAACCUUACCUGGUCUUGACAUCCACGGAAGUUUUCAGAGAUGAGAAUGUGCCUUCGGGAACCGUGAGACAGGUGCUGCAUGGCUGUCGUCAGCUCGUGUUGUGAAAUGUUGGGUUAAGUCCCGCAACGAGCGCAACCCUUAUCCUUUGUUGCCAGCGAUUAGGUCGGGAACUCAAAGGAGACUGCCAGUGAUAAACUGGAGGAAGGUGGGGAUGACGUCAAGUCAUCAUGGCCCUUACGACCAGGGCUACACACGUGCUACAAUGGCGCAUACAAAGAGAAGCGACCUCGCGAGAGCAAGCGGACCUCAUAAAGUGCGUCGUAGUCCGGAUUGGAGUCUGCAACUCGACUCCAUGAAGUCGGAAUCGCUAGUAAUCGUGGAUCAGAAUGCCACGGUGAAUACGUUCCCGGGCCUUGUACACACCGCCCGUCACACCAUGGGAGUGGGUUGCAAAAGAAGUAGGUAGCUUAACCUUCGGGAGGGCGCUUACCACUUUGUGAUUCAUGACUGGGGUGAAGUCGUAACAAGGUAACCGUAGGGGAACCUGCGGUUGGAUCACCUCCUUACCUUAAAGAAGC